rnacentral:rRNA from 1 species
ACGUAGGCUCCAAGCGUUGUCCGGAUUUAUUGGGCGUAAAGAGCUCGUAGGCGGUUUAGUAAGUCGGGUGUUAAAACUCUGGGCUCAACCCGGAGACGCCAUCCGAUACUACUAUGACUUGAGUUCAGGAGGGGAGCGGGGAAUUCCUAGUGUAGCGGUGAAAUGCGCAGAUAUUAGGAGGAACACCGGUGGCGAAGGCGCCGCUCUGGACUGAAACUGACGCUGAGGAGCGAAAGCAUGGGUAGCAAACAGG